UACGGGGGGGGCGAAGCGUUGUUCGGAAUCACUGGGCGUAAAGGGUUUGUAGGUGGCUUGCUAAGUCAGACGUGAAAUCCCUCAGCUUAACUGGGGAACUGCGUCUGAGACUGGUGAGCUUGAGUGCAGGAGAGGAACGCGGAAUUCCAGGUGUAGCGGUGAAAUGCGUAGAUAUCUGGAGGAACACCGGUGGCGAAGGCGGCGUUCC
rnacentral:rRNA from 1 species